rnacentral:lncRNA from 1 species
AUGUUUUGGUUUAUCCCAACUUUUACAUCGUUUAGCAGUAACAUCGGAAACUGUGAAGUCGGGCAACGAAACCCCCACGACUACAUCACUGGAUCACAUUGCGUUGCAGCCCGUGUGCCGGGUGAGGGUGCCCCCUCCACCAAGGGAGGUUUGCAGCCCAUGUGCCGGGUGAGGGUGCCCCCUCCACCAAGGGAGGUUUGCAGCCCGUGUGCCGAUGGGGGGGCCCCCUCCACCAAGGGAGGUUUGCAGCCCAUGUGCCAGGUGAGGGUGCCCCCUCCACCAAGGGAGGUUUGCAGCCCGUGUGCCGGGUGAGGGUGCCCCCUCCACCAAGGGAGGUUUGCAGCCCGUGUGCCGGGUGAGGGUGCCCCCUCCACCAAGGGAGGUUUGCAGCCCGUGUGCCGGGUGAGUGUGCCCCCUCCACCAAGGGAGGUUUGCAGCCCGUGUGCCGGGUGAGGGUGCCCCCUCCACCAAGGGAGGUUUGCAGCCCGUGUGCCGGGUGAGGGUGCCCCCUCCACCAAGGGAGGUUUGCAGCCCGUGUGCCCUCCACCCUUCCACCCAGGGAUAAAGUGCGUGAGGCUCCCAAAUCAGCAGGUGCCAGGAGUGAGGGGGAAUGUUUGUCCACAGGUGUCGAGGGUCCGUCUGUGUCCGUGUGCCGGGAUGAAUUCCCCAGCGUCGCAGACCCACAGGUGCCAGGAGUGAGGGGGAAUGUUUUGCCACCGGUGUCGAGGGUCCAUCCAUGUCUGCGUCCACGUCUACAGUUCGCGUGUUGACUCCCUCAGUCCUGCAAACCCAGAACAAGUUGAACACAUUGGUUGGGCAGAUUGUGACUGAACUCGGAAGAAUAUAGCCCAAGCUUUUGAAUAAUUUACAUAAUGCAAUUGUUGAACGUUUUCCACAACAUGAAUCAAAAAAACUCUUUGUAUAUUGUCUGGCAUUCUGUUUCUUACCACCAAUCUCUGUAUGAGCUGCCGCCUCCUCACUGCAUCAGGCGGGGCAGGUGCUCAAUUGGGUGGUAGGUUAGAAGGCUCUUGGGGGUCCAUUCUAAUGUCAUGCCUCAGGGCUAUGUUGUGGAGCACACCACAUGCCAGUAUUAUGCCUCUCACCUUUGAUUGGGGAGGAAAACCAUUCGUUCUUAAAACCGGCCAACAUAGCAUAAACAUAACAUAAAAUGCUAAAUAUAAAAUGUUGAUAUCUGUUGCUUUAAGUUGACCCAUUUUAAAACUAAAUUAAAGUUUCACAUUUUUAUUAAAUGGAGUUACAUUUUCUGGCUUGUAGAGGAGUUUUCCACCUGAUGCAUCAAGGCAAAGCCACCUGCCCUUCAGCAGUCCGAUGGUGCGCACCACAACCAACCUUGUUCUGCCAUGUGGCAAGUUGUAGCGCAUUUCCUCUGCUGUUCGGGGAUCGGCAAAGGGGGUGAGAAGCCACGUUUUCAGUGGAUAGACCUGUCACCUAAUAGGGUAAAACCGUUGUUACAUUAUUUUGCACGGUUAAUAGGCUAUUAUACACUGAAAAGAAAAGAACUCACUGAGAAGCCACCCGCCUCCACUCUCACCAGCUUCUAGAUGCAGGCCUACUCUGCUGUGGCGCAGAAUUAAUUAGUCAUGCGUAGACCCUGGCCACUUAGAGCAUACAUUGAGAAGUUGCAUACAGGCAUUGCAGAUGAUCUGAACAUUCAAUUAAUGGAAAUUCUUCCUGUUAACAUAUUCAUGCUCAUCUGUAGAUGGUGCACGUAAGGCAAUAUGCGUGCAGUCAACUGCACCUAUGACCCUUGGGAAAUUAAAUGAGCGCACAAACUCGGCUUUGAGGAGAGCCUGUUCAUCGGCUGUAAAUGGGAAACUAAUGUAUCUCCUGGACAAGAUGUGUAGCAUCGCCUCGAUCACUUGUGGCAGGAUGCGGUUGAAUGAUGGCUGUGAUAUAGAACAUUUCAUCCUGUUGUUAAUUCAAAACACAUUGCCUCUGGCAAUUAAUUGAUAAUUGAUAAUUAUAAUUAAUAAUUUAAUUGAUAAUUCCUAACAAAUUGUUUAUAAAGCUAAUGCACAGUUCACCACAGGCUUGGACGCAUAUACGCCCCAAACUGCAAUACCCCUACAAAACCAGCAGGAAAAUCACUUACGUCAAGUCUAGACUUUGCGUAGAGACAAGAUCAUUUCCACAUCAAAGUGAGGUUUUAUAAAUAACUACUUAUACAUGGUUUUCUGCAUAAGUUAUACUUAAUUCAGAUCAAAAUUUAUCGUAAAUCCGUUUUAUAAAUGAGGCCCCAGGGUUGAACCGUAUUCAAGAACUUAUUGGGGUUAGACCAAGAGAGAGAACUGCUCCUUAAAGUAACUAACUUUGACCUUCUGGAUAGCCUGAGUGCACUUAUUUCUCAUUUGCCUGAACGAGAGCCAGUCAGCCUGAGUAUGUGUGUGCCGAGCAAUUUGCCAAAUGUAAUUCUUGAGGUGGAGUCACUCUGCCAGAUCACGGUCGAACCAGGGGCUGAACCUCUUUUUAAUUCAAAUUUUCUUUAUGGACACGUAUUUGUUAGUAAUACUUCUGACAAUAUCAAAAAAGAAGGUCCAAGCAUUUUCGACAGAGGGGAUUCUAUACCAAUUUACAGAGGCCAGAUCAUGAAGGAAGGCUUGCUCAUUAAAGUUUUUUAGCAAGUGUCUAUGACAAGUCAGGACAGGUCAUUUCACUGAGCAGCCAUUAUGAACACAGGCUAUAAAAAGUGAUCACUAAGGUCAUUACAGAAAACACCAGACUGAUACCUAUCAGGAUUAUUUGUAAGGAUAACAUCCAGGACAUGACUUUAAUGAAUCAAAUACCAGUUCCCAUUUGAAAAUAACAUCUAUUUCUAAUCAUUAGGUUUGCUUGGUGAAGCUGUAACAAAAUAAUUAAUUAUAUGGAGAGUGAAACAACUGAACCCAGUACAAGUACAUUACUUUACUAUCCAUCCCUUCCAAUCUGUAAAAUUGUAAGAGAGCAGACAAAACAGGACCAACAAAAUCAUUUUUGCUGUUGUAGUUGAGCUUACAGCUCCCAACAAUCACAGUGAGUCAUGAAUAUGCAAUUGCAGCUGUCAAAACUGCCACCGGCUACAUUGUGCAUACUGUAGCAUUGCUUAGAAACCUGCAUAUUGCCUACAGACUGCCUUCACACCACUCAAAUUUAACACCACACUGUCACUAUGGCUCACUUCCCAGGUGGCUGACACAGCCAGGAGCAGUGUUUUGUACGAGUAGGUGAGGGAGGUUAACAACUAUUGAUCUCACUACUAUGUGUUCUAUGAUGAACAGCCACAUGCUUUAAUGAAUGCAACUGUCAGAGCGAAUGAAACACCUGGUCGCCCCUGGCCUGGCACGUAGCCCUGGUCUUCUUAAAUCACAGUCAAUGAUUUAGAAUGAAUAGGCAUUCAAUGAAUAGCCAAUUAUUUAGAAUCGAUAGUCAUUCCCUCCAACAUGGACAGCCAUUGAUUAAAACCUAGAGAUACUGGAAGAGGAAGGCUUUUCUCUACAUUCAUUGGCCAUAAAAACAGGGAUCAUGUAAUCAACCCAUGUCACGUCCUGACCUUAGUUCCUUGUUUUUGUUUCUAUUUUAGGUUGGUCAGGGCGUGAGUUGGGGUGGGCAUUCUAUGUGUUGUUCUAGUUUUGGUUUUCUAUGUGUUUGGCCUGGUAUGGUUCUCAAUCAGAGGCAGCUGUCAAUCGUUGUCUCUGAUUGAGAACCAUACUUAGGCAGCCUGUUUUUCCCACUUGAGUUGUGGGUGACUGUUUUCUGUGUCUGUGUUUCCUCCAUACAGAACUGUUUCGUUUUUUCGUUUCUGUCUUUCACGUUGUUAUUUUGUAUUUUUGUGUUCAGUGACUUUUCAUUAAAAAACGACGAACACUUACCAUGCUGCACAUUGGUCCUAUCUGUCAUACUCCUCGUCAGAGGAAGACGAAUUUCGUUACAACCCAGUCUAAUUGACAAAUAAAUAAGGAUGCUUGAGGAGAUCCAUUUGAAUAGUUACUGUUGCGUAUCCACUACGUGAUACCGCUAUAAAUUCAAUUUUAAACCCUGUGCUUAACCCCCCCGUUCUGCCGUUCCAAUAUCCACUUCCAAAAAUAAAACAAUGUAAUCUACGGUGAUGUAGACAUGUAUAGAUUGAUAUGAGUAACUAUAUGAAUCCAUCAUGAUGCGCUUUUUGAUAAAACCAUCACAAAUAGCCAACUGUUACAUUCAAAUAGGCUACUGUAUAGGAUGCGACAGACCCUCUGUCCAGUACCUGUUGCAUACAAGCAGGUGGUCAUCAGAGGCAGCUGUGCACACUGCAGGCAGCCCACUGAGGAUUUGGUGCACAAUUUCACAAAUUACUCUACUGUAAUGAAGGCUAUGCUGUAAAACAGCUGAGAGCGUUCAAGGGUUAUUUAUUUCACUCUGCUCCUCUCUCUGGAGUGGGAAACAUGGGGACCGUUGAUGCGCUCAGUUUGGUGAUUCUCCAAUGUGGAUAAGUUGACAGUCACAGUCUGAUUCACUGUCAGUCUCCGCUGAUAUUGGAGGAGUUGAAACGUGGACACCUGCUCUUCUUGCCGAAUAGGUAAGGUUUAAAAUGUGAAUUUUCAUGUUUUCUAGGCUUAAUAGGCUAUAGGAAAUCAUCAAUCAUUUUACAAUCGUUUUUCUGAAAAGAUUAGAUUAGUAACGUCACUUU